AUAAAUGUUUAUACAUUCAUAUACGUCUGUUUAUUCACUUUUCUUUUACUAAAUGAUUAAGUUUCUUGACCGUUUAAUUUAUCUAAUAAAAUUUUCCUUAUUUUUUUUAUAAUUAAUGUUUUUUUUUCAUACAAUAUGAUAACAUUUCAAUGAAAUAAAUAGCCAUGAAUUAUUCUCACAAGUAUCCAGUCAAAUCUGCAGCAUUCAGCAGUAACUUCUCCAAGCAGAAAUCAAAUCAAAAAAUCAAAAAUGAACUUCAACUUGAUUGUUUUGGCCGUAAUUGCCGUCAUCGGUUUGAUGUUUGCUGUAACAGAUGUAUCAGCAUGUAAAGCAAAAUGGGACAAUACCUGUUUGAACAAUGGAGAAUGUUGUACUGGUUUUUGCAACAACAACAAUGGUGCAUGGCGCCAAGGUGUUUGCGAAUAAAAUCCAUUUCUAUAUUAUUGUUUUUAAUUUUUUUUUUUUUUUUUGCAUAUUCAAAAAUGUAUAAUAAUUUUUUUGAAUCAAAAUUGUUCAAUUCAAAAUGGUCAUUGUCAUGUUAAUUGCCAUUUAAUAGCAAAGAAAAAAAAUAAAAUAAACAACUUUUAACAACA